rnacentral:misc_RNA from 1 species
UCGAGCGUCAUUUCAACCCUCAAGUAAAACUUGGUAUUGGGCCCUUUGCUGGAAAGCAGGCCUGGAAAUUAACGGCGGUCCAUUGAGGCUUUAAGCGUAGUAAAUUUAUUUUCGCUUUGAAAGUUCUUGAUAUGGCCAGCUACAACAAAUAAAUUCAAUGGUUUGACCUCGGAUCAGGUAAGGAUACCCGCUGAACUUAA